AUACAGAGGGUGCGAGCGUUAAUCGGAAUUACUGGGCGUAAAGCGCGCGUAGGCGGCUUAUUAAGUCAGAUGUGAAAUCCCCGGGCUCAACCUGGGAACUGCAUCUGAUACUGGUAAGCUAGAGUUUUAGAGAGGGAAGUAGAAUUUCAGGUGUAGCGGUGAAAUGCAUAGAGAUCUGAAGGAAUACCAGUGGCGAAGGCGACUUCCUGGCCAAAAACUGACGCUGAGGUGCGAAAGCGUGGGUAGCAAACGGAAUUAGAAACCCCGGUAGUCC
rnacentral:rRNA from 1 species